rnacentral:rRNA from 1 species
CGCGGCCUAUCAGCUUGUUGGUGAGGUAAUGGCUCACCAAGGCUUCGACGGGUAGCUGGUCUGAGAGGACGAUCAGCCACACUGGGACUGAGACACGGCCCAGACUCCUACGGGAGGCAGCAGUGGGGAAUCUUGCGCAAUGGGCGAAAGCCUGACGCAGCGACGCCGCGUGGGGGAUGAAGGCCUUAGGGUCGUAAACCCCUUUCAGCAGGGACGAAGAUGACGGUACCUGCAGAAGAAGCCCCGGCCAACUACGUGCCAGCAGCCGCGGUAAGACGUAGGGGGCGAGCGUUGUCCGGAAUUAUUGGGCGUAAAGGGCUCGUAGGCGGUUCGGUAAGUCAGAUGUGAAAACUCAGGGCUCAACCCUGAGACGCCAUCUGAUACUGCUGUGACUUGAGUUCGGUAGAGGAGUGUGGAAUUCCUGGUGUAGCGGUGAAAUGCGCAGAUAUCAGGAGGAACACCUACGGCGAAGGCAGCACUCUGGGCCGAAACUGACGCUGAGGAGCGAAAGCGUGGGUAGCAAACAGGAUUAGAUACCCUGGUAGUCCACGCCGUAAACGGUGGGCACUAGGUGUGGGGCCUUAUCAACGGGUUCCGUGCCGAAGCUAACGCAUUAAGUGCCCCGCCUGGGGAGUACGG